GUGGCUGUAGUUCAAUGGUGGAGCGCCUCUCUGUGGAAGAGGAUGUUGCGGGUUCGAGCCCCGUCAGCCACCCCA
rnacentral:tRNA from 1 species